CCACAUUCCUUUAGAAACUCUCAGGAGUGAAUGAGGUAAAGUGUGCAUGCUAGCGUAAUCACCGCCCCUCAUCCUCAAAGUGCCAAGAAAUGUCAUCUUUCCUCAUUAUAUCAAAUCAGAUCUAUCUAACUAGCCAUGGUUAGCAGUAUCAGUCAUUUUAAAUAGCCUCUACUCCUCUCUUAAGAGGAAGAUCCCUGAGCUUACAGAACUCUGUGGAAAUACAGGAAAGAUCUUGGUCACAGUGAUGAGUGCUCAUCACGCCCACUCACAUGCCAAGGGGAACCACUCCGCAAGUGGUAUCCAUAUCACCACUGCCCAUGUGACGGCUCUUAAUGCCCCUCCCUGGGAGUCAUGACGCCGCCUAGACUACUUUUUGGAGAGACUGGUCUCCACCACCCAACGAUCCUUCAGCCCCCUUCUCUGCGGAACUCUUCUAUCCCCGCAAAGCUUUAAUUUUUCCACUGCCUAGGGGAAAAAUAACCUUUUUCUCUUGUCCUUUACUUUUUGUGACAUGUCAUGAAACACUGGAUAAUCGGACAACCAAGUACCAAACCUCAAGGCCACAAAAGAAACUUUGAUUUCCUGGUUUCCUUAAAAAUACAGUAACAGCUCUCCCACCUGCCGAAGAGGAAAGACAGAACAAAAGAAACAAUACAGUUUAGUAUUCAUAUAUUACCACAUCAACGCUUUAAAACUUCUUUUAUACAAGGAAACCAACACAACUGUUUUUUCCAAACUGGGUCAAAAAACUUUUGAAUGAAUUUCAGUGCCUGUGUUUAAAACUAACUUAUACUUCAUCCCAUUACCCAUUCCUGUUUCUUGGCUUUCUUCCAUCUUUCCACAGGUUCUUUUUCCCUACCUUCCAAGAUGAUUGGAGACACGAAUCCAGUUGGCAUCAUGAUCUUAAUACACAAUGGAACUGUGUCUCUAAUGAGUAAUAAAUAUUAUGUUCACAUCCUCUGUGAGGUCAUACUGCUGCAGCAGGUCACGUGUGCAACGCAAACCAGAAGUGAGCUAUUCCUUCCUUGGUUAACUAGUUACAGAACUCUACAUGAAGACACGGGGGUAGAUAAACAGGUGACAUUGCAAGAGGAGUUACUAUAUUAGGAACGUGAGCCACCAGCUCUUAACACGUAUUCAUGUCGACAGAACAUGAGCAGGUCUGGUCUCCUAUAUGCCGUUUCCACCUGAUGCUGGAAGACGACAUUAGUGCCUGGUGGGGCAGAAAAUCCCUGUGUCAUCCCUGAAGACCAGGCUCACGAGAUCAGAUUUUCUAUGUCUGCAUGUGAAUGUGCUAGGAUUUGUUCGACUCUUUGUGACCCCAGGGACUAUAUAGCCCGCCAGGCGCCUCUGUCCAUGAGAUUCUUCAGACAAGAACACUGGAGUGGGUUGCCAUUUCCUACUCCAAGUUUCUAUAUCUAACAGGGCCCAUUAGCAUGCCAAAUGCAGUUUCUUAAUAGAGGAGUAUUUAUUUGCUUCCAAACACUACAAGCUUACUUUGUAUAUGAUGCUCCUCUAAAUGUUUGCUAUAAGCUACACAGGGCGUCCCAAAUUGCCACAGGCGUUUCAAGCACCACUGGAGCUGCUGGCUCCUAAGGACUAAAUGACAGAACUUUGCAGUGAAGCUGGGUCUUACUCUUGGCCUCAUUCAUAUCUAGUAACUUUAGGGGCUACCUCAGUAAAUAGAUUCCAAACGCAGGCUAUAUUGUCUCCAAAAUUCAAAGCGACCCACAGUGCAAUGUGCCUCCUUCUUAGCAGUACUUUGGAGGGGACACCCCCAUCACAUCUCAGAUCACUAGUCCCCAAGAACCUUCCCCAAAGUGGUUGGCCUUGACUUCUCUUUGCAUCUUCCUCCUACUUUCAAAUCUCAUAUUUCUUACAAGGGCAUUAGAAUACCUGCAACUUUCUAUUAACCUGGUCCUGCCAUCAUGAAGUCAUCAAUGAAAUAGGCCAGAGCAUUUUCCUUUGAGGUGGUGAAAUAAGAGAGAACCUGCACAAUAAAGGUAGAGACUGAAAAUAUUAUAAUCCCUAUUUUAGAUAGGAGAAAAAAUGAGUCAUUACUUAAGUUCCUUGAGUGGCAGGUCUGUCCGUCUCCAGAGCUUUUCUCUUGACCUUCAUAGGAUGAGCUCGUAGCACAGAAGGAAUGUGAGUCUGGGCUAGAUGGAUAGAUGGAAAGAUGCCACGGUCCCAGGCAGUGCCCAACAGUCUGCUUACACCUGGCCCAUCUUCUCCAUUUAAGCAGCUG
ensembl:lncRNA